UAACCUCUGCAGGCUGGCAGGCCCCCAGGCUGAGCUGGGUGAGUACCUCUUUUAAAGGCUCACCCUUAAGCAUGACCAGGAUG
rnacentral:pre_miRNA from 1 species